AUGGGCGCAAGCCUGAUGCAGCAACGCCGCGUGGGGGACGAAGGCCUUCGGGUUGUAAACCCCUUUUAGCAGGGAAGAARCGCAMGUGACGGUACCUGCAGAAAAAGCACCGGCUAACUACGUGCCAGCAGCCGCGGUAAUACGUAGGGUGCAAGCGUUGUCCGGAAUUAUUGGGCGUAAAGAGCUCGUAGGCGGUGUGUCGCGUCUGCUGUGAAAAUCCAAGGCUCAACCUUGGACCUGCAGUGGGUACGGGCACACUAGAGUGCGGUAGGGGAGAUUGGAAUUCCUGGUGUAGCGGUGGAAUGCSCAGAUAUCAGGAGGAACACCAAUGGCGAAGGCAGAUCUCUGGGCCGUAACUGACGCUGAGGAGCGAAAGCGUGGGGAGCGAACAGGAUUAGAUACCCUGGUAGUCCACGCCGUAAACGGUGGGAACUAGAUGUGGGGUCCGUUCCACGGAUUCCGUGUCGCAGCUAACGCAUUAAGUUCCCCGCCUGGGGAGUACGGCCGCAAGGCUAAAACUCAAA
rnacentral:rRNA from 1 species